AAUCAACGCUGGCGGCGUGCCUAACACGUGCAAGUCGAACGCGAAAGGGACUUCGGUCCUGAGUAGAGUGGCGAACGGGUGAGUAACGCGUGGGUGACCUACCCUCGAGUGGGGGAUAACGUUCCGAAAGGGACGCGUAAUACCGCAUGACAUUCCGGGUUUGAAGACCUGGAAAUCAAAGCCGGGGACCGCAAGGCCUGGCGCUAGAGGAGGGGCCCGCGUCUGAUUAGCUAGUUGGCGGGGUAAUGGCCCACCAAGGCGACGAUCAGUAGCCGG
rnacentral:rRNA from 1 species